GAUGCUGCGGCUUUUCAAAGAAGACGAGCGAUCUUUUAUGUGCGACGCUUAGAGCCUUAGAUUGACUGCUCUCUUCGUUUUCUCCGAGCAGGUAAGCUUUGCUAGGUGAGUUUUCCAGGUGAUUUUUUAUGAAUAUUUCUGCGAGAUGGGAAACCCUUCCUCGCAUCCCAAAACCCUUCCUUUGUCUUAUUUUUUGGUUUCUUGAGCGAGCGGGAGUGAGGUGGGAAGGAGAAGACGCUGCAGCCUUUUCAAGAAGACGAACGAUCUUUUAUGUACGAUGCUUAGGUCGCUCUCAUCGUCUUCUCUGAGCGGGUAAGCUUUGCUAGACAAAUAUAGGGUUGUCUUUGGACAACAGCGGAAGAUUGCCUGCUGUUUCGGAGGUCAAUCACUUCUCACUUCUCCAGACGUUUCAAAUAUCUCUUAACAUUAUUGCAUCAGCAAAAAAGUGACACAAAUAUUCAAGGUCAUUCAAAAAUUUCCACAUACUGCAACCUAUAAAGCAUUUAAAUUACCAACUUCUUUAGAUGUUGAAAGCCUUCUUAAUGCCAGUUAGCAGUUGCUUCAAUAUGUUGUUCAUAGGACACACAAAAGCUUGGGGUGUUUGAAAUGACAGUUUGGUUUGCAAGCUGUCUCAAAUCCAAGUGAAAUAUUCCUGAGCGAACAUUUCUGACUCUGAAGUAUUAGCUGGCCUUGCAGUAGCAGUUAUCCUUGAUGGCUCACGAAAUUUCGUGAUUGAAAUCCAGAGAGUUUCCGGUGCUCAUCCAUGGUCGAAUCCAUAUUUUGUUUGUCAUGGCCGCAAGCUGCCUAGUGUCAACCCAGUAGUAGCAUAAGAGACUUAGGAAUGCAAGAAGUCGAGCGGAAGACGCGAUGGACGAGAAGGAUGACGCGGGAAUCGAGUCGAUGAGCUCCGUGCAUUCGAGGGACGAGAAGCUACAGAUGAGUACACCGAUGGAGCGAGAAGGACGUGCACAUGCUUCCGAGGGACGAAAAACCGGAGCGGAAGAUUGCUCGAGGAGAAUGUCGGAGUUAGGUUCGAGUGAGCUCAACUCUGGAAAGCUAGAGGAUCACCCAAGCGACCGGAGAAGAAGCCAAAGACUGGAGAAGGCGUCAUACGGUCAGCACGUGGCUGACUGAUCCGGGUGCCCAGACCACCAAGGUGCCUGACAGGCGCCUCGUCGUAGGGUCGUUGCUGUGGAUCACUUUUGGGUCCAUGUCAAUAACGAUCCGGGCGCUCGGACAUGGAAAAAUUUCAUCUUCCAGCCGUUGUGUGAAGAUGAAGUUUGCCUCGCUGGAGGUGCCCGAAUCACCAUCCAGGCGCCCUGAAGUCUGCCAUGUCAUCUAGUUUCAACAAAACACACUUUGUAGUUUAAUUACGAACUGUCUUUAAUUUCUGGACUUUCAACGCUUGUAAGGAGAAUCUUAGUGAGCUUCCAUUGCUUUAGGAUUAGCAACUUUCUUGGUUGCAGAUCAAGUAAAAUUCUGUUUCUCUUUUUUUAUGUUAUUAUUUUUGAAUUA